AAGAAAUCUGACCUAUAAGGAAGUAGAGUGUUUGUUCAAAAGUAUAUUGAUCAUACAUGAAGUUCAGGAAAAAGUACAAAGUCACUGGUUUGACCAAUCUGCCUAUAAACAUUUA